rnacentral:rRNA from 1 species
AACGAACGCUAGCGGCAUGCCUAACACAUGCAAGUCGAACGAGACCUUCGGGUCUAGUGGCGCACGGGUGCGUAACGCGUGGGAACCUGCCCUUAGGUUCGGAAUAACUCCCCGAAAGGGGUGCUAAUACCGGAUAAUGUCUUCGGACCAAAGAUUUAUCGCCUUUGGAUGGGCCCGCGUUGGAUUAGCUAGUUGGUAGGGUAAAAGCCUACCAAGGCGACGAUCCAUAGCUGGUCUGAGAGGAUGAUCAGCCACACUGGGACUGAGACACGGCCCAGACUCCUACGGGAGGCAGCAGUGGGGAAUAUGGGACAAUGGGCGAAAGCCUGAUCCAGCAAUGCCGCGUGAGUGAUGAAGGCCUUAGGGUUGUAAAGCUCUUUUACCCGGGAUGAUAAUGACAGUACCGGGAGAAUAAGCUCCGGCUAACUCCGU